UUAUCCACUUUGGCCUACAGCCUAUAGUCUGGGUGCUAUAUGGGUCAUUUUUGGGCCUCACGGUUUUGGCCCUUAAAAGGUGCCUUAUGUGGGAAGAAUGGUCUCUUCUUAUAUAAACUAGAUUCUUUCUUGACUCCAAUCAAUGUGGAACUAAUAAUGUCCUUUCUUCUACACUAUAACAUAGUCUCUUCAGUCAAAAGAGAAUCUGUGUACUCCACAGACCGUGUCUGUAUACUCCCACAGAGUGGUGUUUAGGUGAAAGGAGCCCC
rnacentral:lncRNA from 1 species